UGGGCUUUGACUCUGGGAAGUUUCUCUGGGGAGUUUCAGUGUCCCAUGACCCAACUUAAUGCUUUUUCAAAGUCUUUUCCACUUGGAGCGAGGAAACAUCUCGAGGAGACACAGAACCAUCUCUUUAUUUUCCCUCUAUAUUUUUACACAUUAUACAUGCUAACAACAUGGCUUUAGGGAUGACAGUGUUGGCUCAUUACUUAGAUCUAUGCCUAAAUAUCUCAACAGCUAUUUGAUCAUUGGCAGAAAAAUACAUGUACUAGUAUAUACAGUCCCAAAAGGAUGCAGAGUAACAGAUACAUUAAGCAGAUGCUUUUGCCCAAAGCAACCAGGGGUGUGGUGGGUGAGGAUACCAAGAUAUGCUGGCUGAUUGGUACAUGUAUACAUUACAAUAUUUUGCAUUUUAUUAGAAUUAAAUUGGAACAAGAAACUAUAGGAUACAGCUGAUGUUGCAUUCCUUGUGGCGAUAGAGCAAACUAAUCCUUACUGGUCAAUAACAACCUAUAUCAGGGGACCCCGUCUAAGACCGUGCCUCCAAGUUUAGGAAGCCUGCAUUGGCCCAUUUCUAUAGAACAUUCAAAUGCAUUGACAACACAGCUGGUACUGCAUACAGCCUGAUUUCCUGUACUCUACAAUGAAGUCAGUGCUUGGUGGCUUUUAUGUGCUGAGGACUACAAAGAGUGAUUUAUGCCAACAGAAAAAAGCCUAUUCCAUAUUGAGCACCUUUCAGCAGCCUCUUUAAAACACUUUGGCCCUGUUAAACCAUGCAGUACCUGACCGCCCUGCUCAAACUGUUUAUUUGACUUGCUGCUGAGAGCACUGCUGUGUGUGUGUGUGUGUGUGUGUGUGUGUGUGUGUGUGUGUGUGUGUGUCUGUGUGCAGGGUGGCAAGAUGUGUGUAGAUGUGUCCAUGAACAUCGACUUGUAUAUAUGUUUGUAAAGUACAUGUGAAUUCAGUCAAAUGUGUGUGUGUGUGUGUGUGUUCACUGUGGCGUUAGGCCUUUGCUUCCUUCCUUCCUGUUCAAGCAGACCUGGUCCCUCUACCCACCAACGCUUCUCUCCUCUGGGAUGGCAGUUUUAGUGCGUGCGUUCGCCCGCGCGUGCGUAUGUGUGUGUUUGUGUGUGUACGUGAGCUUGACACUUGACUGAGCAGGGUGGUCCUACAGGGACUUGUCUAUGGGUCUAGUUCCUGAUUCUCAGAAACGCACACACCUGCACCAUCUCGCUAGCCAAGCGCCCCAAAUAUAACCUAGAGCAUGUGAUACACUCAGACUGACCCGCUCUUUGUUUUGCACCUGCCCUUCUUUGUUGACUUUCCUUUUUUCAUCCUUGUUGGUUUACCAGAACAUUUUCUCUCUUCUUAAUUAAUAAAUAAUGAAGUUACCUCCUUCUGUCAUGCAUCCAAAAUAACAAAGAAGAUGUACACACUUUCUCUUUCUGGCUUUUAUCUUAGACACACUUAAACACUAAGUUGUGAAUUGGGUUAGUGUAGGAGCACAGGAAGGUUUGAAUAUUGCAUCAUUGGGAUGCAGAGCAGCGGUGUUUGGGGUCAGAGCGCUAUCAUGUUGCCAAUCAGCAAGGCAGCUCAGAGCCCUCAUCAGCUUUUGAUUGCAUUUAGAAUGGCUAAUUAAAUAAAAUAUGACAUUAUGUAAAUGUCUGUGUCUCUGCCAUAUGGCCCCAGGCACUGUCCCCCACCCCCGCCCCGUCCGCCUCCAGCACACCAGGGGCAACGAAGUGAGAGCUCUAAAUGUGUGUGUGUGUGUGUGUGUGAGAGAGAGAGAACCAGAGCCAUUGCAUGUCCGAGACUGAACAAAGCGAUGGUCACAAAAACCUCUUUUCUCAAGGCAUGCCUCAGUUCCUUCAAUUUGCAUCCAUGCAUCCCACAUUUAGGUAUUUUCUUUGCAUCUCAGUCCCUCCCCCUAGAGAUGCAAGAGAGGGAAGGCCAGGAUGAGGAUAUAAGUACAUAUGUUAUAAGAGACAUGAGAUGUCACUGCUGAUCAGUUUUAACAGCUGUUUGUGUCUGCACACACUCUCAUAACUAUCUAAAUAAAAUACACAGAGUGAAAUGAUUUUGUCUUUGUGUGUCAACAGUUAUUCAUUCUACAUCCUGCUUGGCACCAUACAGACAAUCUGACAGGUAAAAUACAUAAAUUUUAAAUAAAUAAACUUUUAAUUAUCUAUCAUUAUAAUUGAAUCUGAUUGUUUACCUUUUCCUUGUUAACAAAGAUGAGCUGUUUUAUGAUGUCUCAGGAACACUCAAAAUGAUCCAUUAAGUCUAAAGUUUUAGGGACUUAAGUCACUUUAAAAUAGUCAGCCCCAUACACUGCAGACAACAGCUGAGAGGACAAUGAAUUUAAACAACAGGCUGUCUCAUCAGACUGGUUUUUAGAUACUUAAUACUGUGCUGAAAAUAAAUAAACAGUAGUUCCACAAGUUCAUGGUAGUGGUCUUCAACAGGUUGGCGCUAGCAUAAAAGGGGGAGGAGACAAACGACCACUGAUCUACAGGAAGCAGCAUAUAUUUCAAAAUAAAAGCAUGGUGUUUACCUUAUCACAGGAAAUAAAGAAACUUAAACACAAAACAGAGAAAUAAAUAAAUAAAACACGAAAAGCAAUAGUUUAUGAUGCAAUGCCCUCUUUAAAGAAGUUUCAUUCACAGGGCCUGUGGUGUAAAUAAAUUUUUCACAUCAUUAGUAGUCAGGUGCAAAUAUGACUUGACCCCCCAAAAAUUCAACAAAAGGUUAGGGUUAGGAUUAGGGUUAAAAUCGCCGUCCAGGAACUUUUUAAGAGCACAUUUCAGACCAUUUGGAGUCAACUGGUACAAAAAAAUGGGAAUAAUGUCAAAGUUUUUUCAAGUGUUAGGGUUAAGUUGGGGUAACAUUGGGGUAGCGGGGUUAGGGUUAGGGUCAAAAUCACUAUCCAGGACCUUUUUCAGGAAAAUGUUUCUGACCAUUUUGAGUCGAUUGGUACAAAACAAAAACAUUAGGAAAAUUGUCAAGAAAAAAUUUCAAGUGUUACGGUUACGAUAAAAUUGAGGUUUUGGGGUUAGGGUUAUGGGGUUAGGGUUAAAAUCACUGUCCAGGACCCAAUUAGGCGCACAUUUCAGACCAUUUGGAGUCAAUUGGUAUAAAAAAAAAAUAGGAAAAAUUUCAAAAAAAUUUACGGUGUUAGGGUUAUGUUUGGGAAACAUUGGGGUGUUGGGGUUAGGGUGAGGAUUAGGGUUAUGAGGUUAGGGUUAUAAUCACUGUCUGGGACCUUCAAAGGAGCACGUUUCAGACCAUUUGGAGUCAAUUGGUACAAAAAAAAUUAAAAAAAAAUGUCAAAAGAAAUUUAAGUGUUAGGGUCAUGUUUGGGUAACGUUAGGUAACAUUGUAGUAUUGGGUUAAGGAGGUUUUCCCUAAUUCUUUUUGUACCAAUGGACUCCAACUGGUCAAAAAAUGAACUCCUAAAAAGGUCCUGGACAGUGAUUAUAACCCUUACCCCAACCCUAAUACCCCAACGUGACCCCAACGUAACCCUUACACUUGAAAUAAUUGUGACAUUUUUUCCCAUUUUUUUUUGUACCAAUUGACUCCAAAUGGUCUGAAAUGUGCUCUUAUAAAGGUCCUGGACAGUGAUUUAGACAUUGCCAGUUCUGUCCCGCGGCCCUGUCCUCAUCCUACUCUAUUCUCAGACCUACUCUUCCCUACUCAAUCCAUAGACCUAUCUUAAAAUAAAAGCUUUUAAAACCCCUAACCUAACGAAUUGCAGAACUACCCUCUCAAAUUUAUAAACCCCAAGUAUUAAAAGUAGCUUGACAAGCAUGGUUUUACCUUUGAAGAGGAGGGUAUGUUGUGUCUCAUUUGUUAGCUUGUUUGUUUGUAGGAUGUCUAUUAUUAAAAAAACAAACAGUUGAAUCUGAUCAUAAUGUUUCUCACUGUGGAAAUACCGAAGACUUCAGAUUUACUGGCAAAGGCUUUGAAAAACAUUUUGUGCCUCCAGCAAAGUUUGACAGAGGUGGAUGGAAUUUCGUCCAACAUACUUAAAACAUUUCACAAGUUUGUUGUGUUGUGGAGUGUAUACACAUGUGUCUUUCCCCAAAUAAUGUCCCAGUUAUUAUGGGUAAUCAGAGCCCCACUGUAAACAAUUUUCACUGCAAUUUGAAUAUAAAGAGGAAUAAAUGUUGGGGCGUGCUGUUAAAGAUCCACAUUAUCUGAAAGUAUUGGAAAGCAAAGUGUUUGUAGUUAGGUUCACCACACUCAGAUAGACAGACCGCAGUUGGCCGUCUUAGAGAAGGGCAAGAAACAAUGAUCAUUUCAAUAUGGAGAUCGAAGAUAAUGAAGGGAAACUGAGAUUUGAACUUGAAAUAGUUGCUGGUUUAUCCCUGUACUUAUAUGUAGGACACCUUUUCACUUUUUCCUAUCUUGGUGAAAGUGUUGCAGGGAAACCACUUCUUUCUGGCCAUAGAAAUGAACAGUAUUUGAUAUGUGCCCAUUUUAUCCCUGUAGCUGUAUCUACUAAAGUGAAGGCCAGCUAACCAUUUCAGUCAAGGCCUCAUCUUCAGUCUCUCUCCUAGCUCAUUGUCAGAGCAGGAUGGUCAUUUCCUUGAUAGUACCCAGGUUUUUACCGCUGACUUUGCUUAGGUAGGGUACACUAUAUAUCUGUGUGUGUUGUGUGUGUGUGUGUGUGUGUGUGUGUGUGUGUGUGUGUGUGUGUGUGUGUGUGUGUGUGUGUGUGUGUGUGUGUGUGUGUGCGUGU